GUCUAGGUAGCUCAGUUGGUUAGAGCAGAGGACUGAAAAUCCUCGUGUCGGCAGUUCAAAUCUGCCUCUAGACA
rnacentral:tRNA from 1 species